AAUUCCCUGCUUAAUGCGUGAAAGUUGUUAAAAUAACCCUACAACUAAUAAAUAGGGAGCCUAAUCUCUUUUGACGGUGUGAAGACCUCCCCGAUUUUCGGGACGAAGGAAUCCUAAAGCCAAAAGGAGGCACCCACCUGCUUUUCUUUUCGUAGGCAGGUUAUCUUAAACAACACACGGUUAAGCGGGGUUACU
rnacentral:other from 1 species